rnacentral:lncRNA from 1 species
GGAGGUGCAAUAAUUUUAGGUUUUAAGGUGCAUUGUUGGUGGCUUAAAGGAGUAGGGUUUGCGGCUUGUGGUUUCAAGAGGGAAGUGCAGUUACUGGUGGUGGUGUUUAGGAGUAGCAGUUGGUUGUGUUGGAAGAGUGUUGCAAUAUCGGGUUGGGGAAAGAAUGUAAGGUGCAGUGGUGCCGCUUGGUUGAAGGAAAGGUG